AGUCUUUGUAUUGCCCAUUUACUUUUAAAAACUAGUAAAUACGGUGUCAAAACAGGCAUAAAUAAAUGUCUUAAUUAUUUUCCUGACCUUAUAUUGGAUAUAUUUGGUGCAGGAACAGCAUAGUAACAACU
rnacentral:snoRNA from 13 species